UAGAGACCGUUGAACCGAGGCGUGUCUUAUGGUUUCGAAAACAAUAUAAAAAGGGGAACAUAUAUGCUUAUAUAUGAGGAAUAUAUAUGAGGAAUAUAUAUGAGGAAUAUAUAUGAGGAAUAUAUAGGAGGAGAAUAUAUGAGGAAUAUAUAGGAGGAGAAUAUAUGAGGAUAUAGAGGAUAAUAUAAGGAAUAUAUAUGAUUAUAUAUAGAAGGGUAUAGAGAAGAUAAUUGUGUAGUACAUUAGUAUGUAAUAUAGUGGGAGAAUUAUAUAGGAGGAUUAGUUGUAUCAAUACGUAAUAUUUGUGUUAAAUAAUAAUUAUAUAACGCCUUGUAUCAGUGGUUAGUAUUCUACGCGUAACCUUUAUUGGAGUUGGGCAAUUACCCAUUGAGUAAUUGGGAGACAUUACAUAACAAGCGCAGACCCGACGCGUAAAAUUUGGAGGCACUGCCCGGAUCACAAGUGGAUUCUAUCUCUGCUUGGGCCGAUUAAUCUAUUUACACUUACUAACUGUGGGAAUGCCACUGGGAGAGUUUGAUAAAACUAAAAGAAAAAAAAGAAGGUGUCAUCAAAUAAAAUGAAAAAAGGUAUUAAACUUAUUGUAUAGCUUUAGAGAAUAAGAGUAGAAACACCUAAUACAAAAAUACUUAUUUAACUUACCAACUGCAUCAGAUGACGAUAAAUUUUUAGGUGUAAAGGUGUAAUAAAAUUUUUUUUUGGCAACAAAUCCAACAAAACAAAUCUAAUAAAACAAUUUUUUAAUGAACAAAAAAAAGUAAUGGCGUAUAAAAUAACAAAUAAAGUAAAGGCGUAAAUACCGAAAAUUUGAUGUUACGCAAAGAAAAAAGUCUUAAAUAGUUUAAAUGUUUUUAUCUAGUAAAUGAUUUUUAAAAGUUUAACAAAAAAAAUACACUUUUAAAAGUAAAAAACAAUAGAAUUAUAAUGAAAAAACAUAUAAACUUAAUAUUUAUUUGAUUGCCCAGUUAAAUUAUAUCAUUCAUUUUAUAAAUUACUAACAAUCUCAGUGAAACAAUAUGCAAUAAGUAUUUUAAAGAAAAUUUUUUUAAAAAACCCCUCUCCCCCAGCCCCAACACGGCUAAUUUUGCAAAAAACUGAUUUAACUAAUUACUUCUUAAUACUUUCUUAUGAAAUUUGGCUAGCACAAAGGAAAUUGUAAAAACUUAUUAAAAAAAUCAAAAAAGCGGAAUAAAGAUUCCUUCGACAACAAUUUAACUAGUUAACACUAACGAAAUUUUAUUUCAAGCAGCGUGUUGAAGCGAAGAGACGCUUUUUUUCUACAGCGUGUUAAAUUUUAAAUUAAACAUGGAAACCUGAUUUAAAAAUAUAGAAAAAUUAAUAAUCAAGAAGUUGGAGGAACAAAAGAUAUGUAUAUUACAAAAAACAGAAAAGUUGUUGAAAGAACAAGAAAAAAGCUUUGCGUCGAUAAGGAGUGCAAACUUGAAAAUAUUAACGGAAAGAAUAGAGAAAAUUGAAAUAUAUGUAACAAAUAAUAAAUCCAAGAUUAUGAAUAUCGAAAAAGAUCUGGACGAUGUCAAAACAACAAAAAAAUAUGCUGACCAAAAAAACAAUCGAUCUCGAAAACAGAUCUGCGAAACAAUCUGUGAAUAGAUGGAGUAAAAGAAAAAGCAGGUGAAACCUGGACUGAAUGCGAGGAUACAAAUAAAGAUAUAUUUAAAAACCAACUAAAAAUAAAUAGCGAAGUUGUUGUAGAAAGAGCACAUAGAUUAGGCAAAACAAAAGAUAGUAAAAUACCUAGAACUAUAGUUCUGAAACUUUUAAAAUAUCAAGACAAGAACAAGAUUCUUAACGCUGUUAAAAAAUUGAAAGGUACUGGUGUAUUCAUCAACGAAGAUUUCGCAAAGGAAACUAUCGAGAGUCGCAAAAAGUUGUGGGAAGAAGUCAAACGUCUACGCGGUGAAGGAAAGUACGCCAUUAUCAAGUAUGAUAAAAUUUUUUGUAGAGAAUUUAAAAAUCCCAUCCCUAACUUUAAGUCCUAAAAAGAAGCCUUUCUAAAAGUAAAUGC